CCGAGCUCAGACUUUCGAGCGGGUGGAAUUUCACCCGCUCGACAUCCUUCCCCCGCGCAAGACACCCUUCCCCCCUGCUCAACCUGUAAACGCCCCCUUUCUCCUCCUCCUCGCAUUCUAGCAUAUCUCCGUCCUCACCGGCAGAGAAAAGGGACGCAGUGGAGAGGAAGGGCCAGAGCUCCCACCGUCGCCGCUCCGCCAGUUUGCCAAUGCCAUAGUCGCUGCUCUUCCACUGGUCCAUCGUUCGUCAUCGCCACAUUCGAGCACUCCUCCUCCCUCGCAGUGGAGCCUUUGUCCAUUUCUCACCGGCAGGGAAGAGGGUUGCAGUAGGCGUGCAGGCCAGAGCUCCCACCGUCGUCACAUUAAACAGCCGGUUCACCAUUGCCACAGGGUUUUUUGAAACAAGAAAGGGAUGCUGUGGAACAGGAGUUGUGGAGACUGAAUCUUGUGCAAACCAAAGUCUAUUGGAACAUGCUCCAAUGCUAGUGAGUAUGUAUUCUGAGAUUCAGUUCACCCAACACAAGCAGCAAACCAGAAGCUAGCUGAUGCCCUCUUGCUCCAAGGCAUUCCCCUCAUUGGAUGAGAAAUCUGCGCAGUCUUGUUUCUCUUCAAACAAAAUGAGAAAGAAGAGACCUCCUUGUUGCACCAAUAGAUUCUGCUAUAAGGACCCUCCUUGCAGCUGUUGCUGUUUCUUUUUAUGAGUGUUACUAUAUGUUUGAGUGCUGAAGAAAUAAAACUUUUGGCAUAUUGGUGUAGAGUUUAUAGGGUGUUUCAGUUAUCAAAUGAAAAAUGUAAUAUUAUUUUGUUUUAGAUAUUCUGGUUUUAUAUAAAUGUAAAGUCUCUUAAAUUUUUUA